rnacentral:rRNA from 1 species
UACAGAGGUCCCAAGCGUUGUUCGGAUUCAUUGGGCGUAAAGGGUGCGUAGGCGGCGCGGUAAGUCGGGUGUGAAAUCUCGGAGCUUAACUCCGAAACUGCAUUCGAUACUGCCGUGCUUGAGGACUGGAGAGGAGACUGGAAUUUACGGUGUAGCGGUGAAAUGCGUAGAUAUCGUAAGGAAGACCAGUGGCGAAGGCGGGUCUCUGGACAGUUCCUGACGUGAGGCACGAAGGCCAGGGGAGCAAAACAGGG